CUCCACGUCCAUACCAGGAUAAAAGCACCUGUUCUCGUCAGAUCACGGAAGUUAAGCAUCGUCGGGCCGGGAUAUAAGUAUCUACAACCCCAGGUCCCAAGGUGC
rnacentral:rRNA from 1 species